AGAUUGAACGCUGGCGGCAUGCCUUACACAUGCAAGUCGAACGGCAGCACGGGGGCAACCCUGGUGGCGAGUGGCGAACGGGUGAGUAAUGCAUCGGAACGUGCCCAGUAGUGGGGGGAUAACUAGUCGAAAGAUUAGCUAAUACCGCAUACGACCUAUGGGUGAAAGCGGGGGAUUCGCAAGAACCUCGUGCUAUCGGAGCGGCCGAUGUCUGAUUAGCUAGUUGGCGGGUAAAAGCCCACCAAGGCUUCGAUCAGUAGCUGGUCUGAGAGGACGACCAGCCACACUGGGACUGAGACACGGCCCAGACUCCUACGGGAGGCAGCAGUGGGAAUUUUGGACAAUGGGCGCAAGCCUGAUCCAGCCAUGCCGCGUGCGGGAAGAAGGCCUUCGGUUGUAACCGUCGUUUGGCGUAGGAACGAAACGGCGACGAGCGAAUACGUCUCGACGUUAAGUCGACGGUACCGUGCGAAGUAAGUAACGCCGAACCGGACUUAACCGUACGUACGACC
rnacentral:rRNA from 1 species